ensembl:snRNA U6 U6 spliceosomal RNA
GUGCUUGCUUCGGCAGCACAUAUACUAAAAUUGGAGCGAUACAGAGAUUACCGUGGCCCCUGCACAAGGAUGACACGCAAAUUGUGAAGCGUUCCAUAUUUUU